GUUCUUGGAAGUCUCUAUCAGGCCCUUCUGAGUAAAUAACACAAAACAAAGUAAAAAGAAAAGACUCUGUAGUACAAAGUACGUGAUGGAGAGUUAAAAUUAUUGGCUGCUUUGGACCAUGAUGGAGAGCAGGUCUGCAGCCGUGAGGUUGUUUUUGAAUCUUCACUUGGAGAUCCGUUUUGCUGUCUGGUGUGGCUCUCAGACUAGUAAAAGAGGACAGUCUACAAAAUAGGCAAUUUCAAAUGAACUCUUGCAAGCACGUCAGGAGACCCCCUUCAUUACUCUGCAUUUCAGCUGCUGUCAAGAUCUCCGUUGUCCUCUGUUGUAGGAUCACAAGAUCGCCACUGUGUCCCACUGCUGCCUUGCAAUAGGACUUCAAGCAAAGCUAAAGGAAAAAUAGUUACCAACAUUUCCAGGUUCCAAAAUGGCCGGCACAACAUCACUUCCGGUCACAUGAGCUGACAUCACUUCAACGCUCCAAAAAGACAUCACUUCCAGUUUCAUCAAACAAUGUUGUUUCCGCUUCCUGUUGUCACGUCACCUCCUGCCAAACAUUUCCUGUUCCCACAAUUCAUCUCUGUAUAUAA